rnacentral:rRNA from 1 species
UACGUAGGGUGCGAGCGUUGUCCGGAAUUAUUGGGCGUAAAGGGCUCGUAGGCGGUUUGUCGCGUCGGGAGUGAAAACCCAGGGCUUAACCCUGGGCUGGCUUUCGAUACGGGCAGACUAGAGGUAUGCAGGGGAGAGCGGAAUUCCUGGUGUAGCGGUGAAAUGCGCAGAUAUCAGGAGGAACACCGGUGGCGAAGGCGGUUCUCUGGGCAUUACCUGACGCUGAGGAGCGAAAGUGUGGGGAGCGAACAGG